rnacentral:rRNA from 1 species
AGUGAACGCUGGCGGUAGGCCUAACACAUGCAAGUCGAACGGCAGCACAGUAAGAGCUUGCUCUUACGGGUGGCGAGUGGCGGACGGGUGAGGAAUACAUCGGAAUCUACUUUUUCGUGGGGGAUAACGUAGGCAAACUUACGCUAAUACCGCAUACGACCUACGGGUGAAAGCAGGGGAUCUUCGGACCUUGCGCGAUUGAAUGAGCCGAUGUCGGAUUAGCUAGUUGGCGGGGUAAAGGCCCACCAAGGCGACGAUCCGUAGCUGGUCUGAGAGGAUGAUCAGCCACACUGGAACUGAGACACGGACCAGACUCCUACGGGAGGCAGCAGUGGGGAAUAUUGGACAAUGGGCGCAAGCCUGAUCCAGCCAUACCGCGUGGGUGAAGAAGGCCUUCGGGUUGUAAAGCCCUUUUGUUGGGAAAGAAAAGCAGCAGGUUAAUACCCCGCUGUUCUGACGGUACCCAAAGAAUAAGCACCGGCUAACUUCGUG